UUGAUCCUGUCUCAGAUUGAACGCUGGCGGCAUGCCUUACACAUGCAAGUCGAACGGUAACAGGUCUUCGGAUGCUGACGAGUGGCGAACGGGUGAGUAAUACAUCGGAACGUGCCCGAUCGUGGGGGAUAACGAGGCGAAAGCUUUGCUAAUACCGCAUACGAUCUACGGAUGAAAGCGGGGGAUCUUCGGACCUCGCGCGGACGGAGCGGCCGAUGGCAGAUUAGGUAGUUGGUGGGAUAAAAGCUUACCAAGCCGACGAUCUGUAGCUGGUCUGAGAGGAUGAUCAGCCACACUGGGACUGAGACACGGCCCAGACUCCUACGGGAGGCAGCAGUGGGGAAUUUUGGACAAUGGGCGAAAGCCUGAUCCAGCCAUGCCGCGUGCAGGAUGAAGGCCUUCGGGUUGUAAACUGCUUUUGUACGGAACGAAAAGCCUCUUUCUAAUAAAGAGGGGUCAUGACGGUACCGUAAGAAUAAGCACCGGCUAACUACGUGCCAGCAGCCGCGGUAAUACGUAGGGUGCAGGCGUUAAUCGGAAUUACUGGGCGUACAGCGUGCGCAGGCGGUUUCGUAAUACACACGUGAAAUCCCCGGGCUCACCCUGCGAACUGCCUU
rnacentral:rRNA from 1 species